AAACCUGAUAUGACUUAGUGGCGGACGGGUGAGUAACACGUGAGCAACCUGCCUUUCAGAGGGGGAUAACGGCUGGAAACGGUCGCUAAUACCGCAUGAUGUGUUCAGAUGGCAUCAUCUGAACAUCAAAGAUUUAUCGCUGAAAGAUGGGCUCGCGUCUGAUUAGAUAGUUGGUGGGGUAACGGCCUACCAAGUCUACGAUCAGUAGCCGGACUGAGAGGUUGAACGGCCACAUUGGGACUGAGAUACGGCCCAGACUCC
rnacentral:rRNA from 1 species